AAAUUGAAGAGUUUGAUCAUGGCUCAGAUUGAACGCUGGCGGCAGGCCUAACACAUGCAAGUCGAACGGUAACAGGAAGCAGCUUGCUGCUUUGCUGACGAGUGGCGGACGGGUGAGUAAUGUCUGGGAAACUGCCUGAUGGAGGGGGAUAACUACUGGAAACGGUGGCUAAUACCGCAUAACGUCGCAAGACCAAAGAGGGGGACCUUCGGGCCUCUUGCCAUCAGAUGUGCCCAGAUGGGAUUAGCUUGUUGGUGAGGUAACGGCUCACCAAGGCGACGAUCCCUAGCUGGUCUGAGAGGAUGACCAGCCACACUGGAACUGAGACACGGUCCAGACUCCUACGGGAGGCAGCAGUGGGGAAUAUUGCACAAUGGGCGCAAGCCUGAUGCAGCCAUGCCGCGUGUAUGAAGAAGGCCUUCGGGUUGUAAAGUACUUUCAGCGGGGAGGAAGGUGUUGUGGUUAAUAACCGCAGCAAUUGACGUUACCCGCAGAAGAAGCACCGGCUAACUCCGUGCCAGCAGCCGCGGUAAUACGGAGGGUGCAAGCGUUAAUCGGAAUUACUGGGCGUAAAGCGCACGCAGGCGGUCUGUCAAGUCGGAUGUGAAAUCCCCGGGCUCAACCCGGGAACUGCAUUCGAAACUGGCAGGCUUGAGUCUUGUAGAGGGGGGUAGAAUUCCAGGUGUAGCGGUGAAAUGCGUAGAGAUCUGGAGGAAUACCGGUGGCGAAGGCGGCCCCCUGGACAAAGACUGACGCUCAGGUGCGAAAGCGUGGGGAGCAAACAGGAUUAGAUACCUCGGUAGUCCACGCCGUAAACGAUGUCUACUUGGAGGUUGUGCCCUUGAGGCGUGGCUUCCGGAGCUAACGCGUUAAGUAGACCGCCCGGGAGUACGGCCGCAAGGUUAAAACUCAAAUGAAUUGACGGGGGCCCGCACAAGCGGUGGAGCAUGUGGUUUAAUUCGAUGCAACGCGAAGAACCUUACCUGGUCUUGACAUCCACAGAAGAAUCCAGAGAUGGAUUUGUGCCUUCGGGAACUGUGAGACAGGUGCUGCAUGGCUGUCGUCAGCUCGUGUUGUGAAAUGUUGGGUUAAGUCCCGCAACGAGCGCAACCCUUAUCCUUUGUUGCCAGCGGUUAGGCCGGGAACUCAAAGGAGACUGCCAGUGAUAAACUGGAGGAAGGUGGGGAUGACGUCAAGUCAUCAUGGCCCUUACGACCAGGGCUACACACGUGCUACAAUGGCGCAUACAAAGAGAAGCGACCUCGCGAGAGCAAGCGGACCUCAUAAAGUGCGUCGUAGUCCGGAUUGGAGUCUGCAACUCGACUCCAUGAAGUCGGAAUCGCUAGUAAUCGUGGAUCAGAAUGCCACGGUGAAUACGUUCCCGGGCCUUGUACACACCGCCCGUCACACCAUGGGAGUGGGUUGCAAAAGAAGUAGGUAGCUUAACCUUCGGGAGGGCGCUUACCACUUUGUGAUUCAUGACUGGGGUGAAGUCGUAACAAGGUAACCGUAGGGGAACCUGCGGUUGGAUCACCUCCUUA
rnacentral:rRNA from 1 species